rnacentral:rRNA from 1 species
AGAGUUUGAUCAUGGCUCAGGAUGAACGCUAGCUACAGGCUUAACACAUGCAAGUCGAGGGGCAGCAUGUUGGUUGCUUGCAACCAAUGAUGGCGACCGGCGCACGGGUGAGUAACGCGUAUCCAACCUACCCUUGUCCAUCGGAUAACCCGUCGAAAGGCGGCCUAACACGAUAUGCGGUUCACAGCAGGCAUCUAAGAUGAACGAAAUGUGAAGGAGAAGGAUGGGGAUGCGUCUGAUUAGCUUGUUGGCGGGUAACGGCCACAAGGCUACGAUCAGUAGGGGUUCUGAGAGGAAGGUCCCCCANAUUGGAACUGAGACACGGUCCAAACUCCUACGGGAGGCA